GCCCCUGUAGUUCAACGGAUAGAACACCUCCCUUCUAAGGAGGGGAUCUAAGUUCGAUUCUUAGCGGGGGCA
rnacentral:tRNA from 1 species